UGAGGCGUAAUGAAGGCUAAUGUGCUGCAUCCCAUUGGUGGCACUUUCACUAAACACGACUGGAUGUUACGAACAUUCCAGCCACAUUUCAUCAGUGUAAUUGUUAAAUAGGGAUCUGAUUAUUGCAAUACGUGUUAAGCAAGUCAGGACGUUAGUAAUAGGUGGGAGCCUGUAUGUACAGACCAAAGGGCUGAGGAGGCGACGCCAAAGUAUGUCACAGCAAGAAAUACGCAACACAAAAAUCACUACAGUCAAAGGUGACAGUGGGACGGUGGCCCCUGGACAGUGGGACGGUGGCCCUUGUUCUUGCCUUACAAACGCUCAUCUCCUCACCCAAGCAAUAACAGCAGGGUAGUGGCAGCUUUCCAUGUGCCCCCUUUUCCUGUGGCGUCACACGCUCCCUGAACAGCAGUUAUUCUCCUGUUUAACUAGGAAGAAACCUAAAACUGCCGCUGGUGAGAGCAGGACCCGUGGCUGGAUUAUGUUUUUUACAUUAAGUACACAAUCAUUGAUUUCCUUGAGGGGAAACAGAAGAGCUUACCAGUAGGAAAAAUGUGGACAGAUGCAAACAAUUCAGAAGAGACAUACUGUGUCUCCUGAAAGCAGCGCAGCCAGUGGCCGCACUGUCCCCUGAAAGCAGCGCAGCCAGUGGCUGCACUGUUCUCGCCACAAAAUGUCAGCAUUACAUUCCAUCUCACAGAUGUCACAAAUUAUAUCUGCUUAAUUAGGAUCAUCACAAACAAGCUCUGUUCUUAUAAAAAGUACAAAGCACAAAAUUCACUGAGGUCCCUUAGAAUGUUUUACCUGAAUGUUAGAAUAAAAAUAAAAGUGCCAAAUGGCCUUCCAUAAUAUCGUGCAUUUAUAUUGCAUUUGUAGACUUAUCUGUGAUAUUUUUUUUUCCAUUUACAACAUAAUAAUGUGUAUUUGUACAAACUAAAGCAACUGGGGUUACCAUGGGAACUACUACCACUCUGCAGAUACUUAGACCCGGAAUGUAUUAAUUUUGUAAACACUAGUUGGAUUUUAUGCCAGUAGCCCUUUUUAGAGUUAUGUGUACUGUAUAUGGAAAUAUUUCGCUAAAUACAAAACAUCGAUUGGAAAACUCAGUCAGUAAUUACGUUGUUGUGGCUAUCACUCACUGCCGGAAAUUAAAAUUAAAAAUUACUUUAUUCAGGUUAUAAAGAUUUUCAAUAACUACCGACCUUGUAAAUGAUAAUAAGUUUUCUAAAAAACCA